rnacentral:misc_RNA from 1 species
AAGUCGUAACAAGGUUUCCGUAGGUGAACCUGCGGAAGGAUCAUUAUCGUAGGGCUUCGGCCCUGUCGAGAUAGAACCCUUGCCUUUAUGAGUACCGUCCGCUUCCUCGGCAGGCCCGGCCAUAUGCCGAUUGGACCCAAAACCAAACCCUUUAUUACCUGUAAUCAAGUCUGAAAAUAACAAAAUUAAA